rnacentral:rRNA from 1 species
GAUGAACGCUGGCGGCGUGCCUAACACAUGCAAGUCGAGCGAUUUACUUCGGUAAAGAGCGGCGGACGGGUGAGUAACGCGUGGGUAACCUGCCCUGUACACACGGAUAACAUACCGAAAGGUAUGCUAAUACGAGAUAAUAUGCUUUUAUCGCAUGGUAGAAGUACCAAAGUUUUUGCGGUACAGGAUGGACCCGCGUCUGAUUAGCUAGUUGGUAAGGUAACGGCUUACCAAGGCGACGAUCAGUAGCCGACCUGAGAGGGUGAUCGGCCACAUUGGAACUGAGACACGGUCCAAACUCCUACGGGAGGCAGCAGUGGGGAAUAUUGCACAAUGGGCGAAAGCCUGAUGCAGCAACGCCGCGUGAGCGAUGAAGGCCUUCGGGUCGUAAAGCUCUGUCCUCAAGGAAGAUAAUGACGGUACUUGAGGAGGAAGCCCCGGCUAACUACGUGCCAGCCGCCGCGGUAA